rnacentral:rRNA from 1 species
AGAGUUUGAUCAUGGCUCAGAUUGAACGCUGGCGGCAUGCUUAAUACAUGCAAGUCGAACGGUAACAGAUUCUUCGGAAUGCUGACGAGUGGCGGACGGGUGAGUAAUACAUAGGAAUCUGCCCAUGUAGUGGGGGACAACUUGGGGAAACUCAAGCUAAUACCGCAUAAUUCCUACGGGAUAAAGAGGGCCACUGCUUGCAAGCUCUUGCUACUAGAUGAGCCUAUGUCGGAUUAGUUAGUUGGUAAGGUAAUGGCUUACCAAGACAGCGAUCCGUAGCUGGUUUGAGAGGAUGAUCAGCCACACUGGGACUGAGACACGGCCCAGACUCCUACGGGAGGCAGCAGUAGGGAGUAUUGGACAAUGGGCGCAAGCCUGAUCCAGCAAUGCCGCGUGUGUGAAGAAGGCCUGCGGGUUGUAAAGCACUUUCAAUUGGGAAGAAAGAUUAUGAGUUAAUACCUUAUAAUAUUGACG